UCCGCCGCCGCGCCCCUCCGCGCUGCGGGGCUUAGCGGUGAGUGCGCGCCCCUCCCGCCGGAGCGGCCGGCACCGCCCCGCCGCCCGCCCGCCCGCCCGGGCUCGCCCGCGGCGCCGGCACCGCAGACCUUCCCGCCGCAGCGGACCGCGCCGGGCUCGAUGUCGCGCCCCGUGCUGCGAGGAGCACAUGGUGAGAGCAGCGUGGGUUUCUGUCUGCUGUGUUUUGGACAGGAGACUGUGGAGAGUGUAACUUGCCAUAGCACCUUGUAGGUUAUGAAAAUAACCUGUCCUGUGUAGGAAUCUGUAUUGAAUUAAAUUACAGUUAAUAAAACGGAGAAUACGCCCACAACAGAAAAUGUAAUGGAUGGAAGAACAACCUGAAGAUGUAGCACAAUAAAGAGAAGCCCUUUAAUCUCUGGGUCCAACUCUGGGAGCAUUGAGGAUUGCUGUCUUCCUGUUUCUUCUGCUUUUGUCUUGAGCUGGGAAUGAGUCCCUCUUCUCCAGUAUCAGGUCUAAAUUAGGUAUUGAGGACUUAUAUUUGAUGGAGUAGCUCUCAAAUAAGUUAUUUUCCAAGACUUUUGUGAACCUUUCUCAGUUCUAGAUGAUGGUCUGGCUUUUUUUUUUUUUUUCCUCUUUCUCUGGAUCUUGAGACUGGAAUUUGGGAAGGGAGGAUUUCUUUGCAGAGGUUGCUGCAGUAUCUUAUUAUUUUGUCUUGUUUUGCUAAACACAGGGACCUGUGAAAUGAAACUGAGAUGUUUGGUCUGCAUACUGAAGUGAUUGAGAACAAGUGUAUCUGGGACAACAUGUUGCACUGAAGCUAAUCUGAGCAAAUGUAGAGAAGCUUUGCUAGUUGACGGGGAGCGUGGUGUGAUUUAAUGUGUUUAAAUAAUAGAAAACUACUUGUAUUAGGAAACUUGCAGAGAUGACAGAAAUUUGGUAUUGGUACCAGGAAAAAGGGAUGUGGGAGUGACAACCAGGAGAUGGUGUCAGUUUGGAAAGGAGAUGUGAUAUUAUGAGAGCAAGUUUUGGUGAGUGUAAAUGAGGAGAGGCAAACAACUGAGCUCAUGUCGGGAAACAGGUUUGGCCUGCAAAUGUGUCUAGAAAGCAAAUGGAUUGAAGCCUCUCAAUGACAAGAGGGGAAGAAAAGACAUGAAAAAGAGACAUGAUGCUACUUUGAUUUUAGUGAGCUACAAAAAAAGAGGAUGUUUUAUGUCACUCUGAUCAUGAUGGAAAUAGAAACUGGAGAGGAGAAACUUUAACGAACAAAGUAGAGACAGAAGUGAUG